rnacentral:lncRNA from 1 species
CUCAUUCCUGGUCUCCUGAGGUCAUCGCUGCUCCUGCCUGAGAUCCUGUCCCUUGACCCGCAACUGUGCUUUUAUGCGGGCCCUGGGGAAAGGUGUCUGGAAAGCCAGCCUCACAGCUCAGAGAUGUCCACGCACAGCCUGCUAGUCAGACCAGCUUGCCUUGUUAUCCACCACAGCCUCCAGCUCUCUACUUCAGGGACGUAUUCCAGGUAACAGACUGCUUCCGGCUAUGAAAUUGCUCACAGCAGACCAGUCCUGCCGAGGACUCAAGGCACCUGAUCAAAGGACUGGAGUGCCACCCUGGGACCCGCAGUGCAGAGGGGAGCUUGAAGAGGGCCUCAGGCAUCAGGAACCUGAACCUGUUUGUUCUUGGGCUCAGGCUACAGGUAUGCCAGUCUUCACAGCACACACCCCGGAG